rnacentral:lncRNA from 1 species
GCUGGCUCCAGGGGCUGUUUCCUUACCCCUCCGGCCCUCGAUACCCCCUUGCAGUCUCCAAGAGUUUGUUUUAGGGCUCAAGUCUUCCUCUACCCCAAAAUGGGCAGACAGACCUGGGCAGGGGCGGAGGCGGAGAGAAGUUUUCUUCGUCGAGAGCCUUACCCUGCUGCUGGGAACAGUCGCUGUCCAGGAUCGUGGCGAGGGAAGCAUUCAGCCCGGGCUCUGGUCCCUCCAGGGAGGACGGCGGCCCGGGCACAGCAUCGAGCACAGGUGGAGGCUGUGUGUGUGUGUGUGUGUGUGUGUGUGUGUGUGUGUCCAUGUGUCCAUUCGUGCACGCGCGCGAUCUCUUGGGAAUGCGUGUUGG